CUUUCUGGGCGAGCAGCAGGGACGGGAGAAGGGCAGACACGGAAAAGAAAUGACCGACUUGACAAGGUGUCGGGAGCAGGUCCCGGAAAGCUCAGAAACCUUGUAUGGCUCCCACACCUCUGAACGAUGACCAGCGACCUCCAAAUGACCUCUGCCUACCUUCCCAGUCUCGCUCCUAUUCAGUUGUCUCACGUCCGCGUGCCAUCAGAUUCCAUUAUUUCCCUUUGUAAACACCUACACAGGCCUCCGGAUAAAGCUCACGAGUUCCCUCCUGUGUAUGGAGACUUUCCUGGUGGUCGCUUCCCUCCCCGUUCUCCAAACCCUGCCCUCACAUUGAGUGAA